rnacentral:tRNA from 1 species
GUGCCAGUAGCUCAGUUGGAUAGAGCAACGGACUUCUAAUCCGUAGGUCGGGGGUUCGAAUCCCUCCUGGCACGCCA